ACAGGACCAACCAAAUCACCUUGGUACAUCCAGAAAUAUUUAUGAUUGAAAUGCUGGGAGCAAAUGGAAUCUCAUAUUGGAUAAAUGUCAAUUUCAGUUGUGCAGGUCUUCUAAAGUACCAUCAUUGCAGUUGUCAUUUAAUUUCACUUAUCCUACAAACUAAUGUUUCAACUGAUUGAUUAGGAAUCAAGACUUCUUACUCAGUGGAACCCCGAUCAGUCGGCCUCCGAUAACCCAGAAGUCUGGCUAACCCGGAUCGAUUUUCAUCAGACAAAACGAAAAAUGUUUCACUUUUACCAAGUUUUUUACCAAGAAAUAAGCAAUACUGUAUACAGGGUGAGGCAGAUAAAGGGCCUAUUAGAAAUAUCUCGAGAACUAAAGGUAAGAGAAUCAUGAAAAUUGGAAUACAGGGGUUUUGAGGUAUGAACUAUUUAAUGAAAAUAUUUUGGUCUCUUUGCUACUUCCGGUUAUACCGGAAGUUGAUUAAAACUUCGUUUUUUUUUAAUGGGACACCCUGUAUAUUUUUACAUUUUUAGAUUCUGCUCGAUGUCUUCUUUCUUAAAAUAUGAGGUUUUGUAAUAUUAUACAAGGUAGUUUAAAAGAUAAUUAAGGUUUUUUAUAAAUUUUGUAGCAA